AUUGAACGCUGGCGGAAUGCUUUACACAUGCAAGUCGAACGAUGAACCUUAGCUUGCUAAGGGGAUUAGUGGCGAACGGGUGAGUAAUAUAUCGGAACGUGCCUUGUAAUGGGGGAUAACUAGUCGAAAGAUUAGCUAAUACCGCAUACGCCCUGAGGGGGAAAGUAGGGGAUCUUCGGACCUUACGUUAUAAGAGCGGCCGAUAUCUGAUUAGCUAGUUGGUGGGGUAAUGGCCUACCAAGGCGACGAUCAGUAGCUGGUCUGAGAGGACGACCAGCCACACUGGAACUGAGACACGGUCCAGACUCCUACGGGAGGCAGCAGCGGGGAAUUUUGGACAAUGGGCGCAAGCCUGAUCCAGCCAUUCCGCGUGAGUGAAGAAGGCCUUCGGGUUGUAAAGCUCUUUCGCAAGGGAAGAAAACUUACCAUCGAAUAAAUGGUGAGGCUGACGGUACCUUGAUAAGAAGCACCGGCUAACUACGUG
rnacentral:rRNA from 1 species